UAACUAAAACUAACAGUAACUAUUCAGUUUAAUUACAAUUAGUACUCUAAAAAAAACUCAUAUGCAUCUCUAUGUACACAAACACACAGCUAAUGGUUCAAUAUGAAUACACUCACACUUAAUAGUUCAUCAUUUCAAUACAGUUCAUUACAAAUUAAUGAUUCGGCCAGUCCAAUUAUGCAACACAAAUCAAAAGUAAACCUAAACAAAUACCAAUUAUCUAGUAUCUAUUCUAGUAUAACAACUUGAACGCGCGCACUUCAAGAGGUAAAUAGGGGAGCCUUUUAUUUCAGCAUUUCAAUUCAAAAGCUACAUCAAAUCAAUCUCGAGAAUGUGUACCUGGAAUUUACAACAAUGAAGAAGGAGCAGUCAGUAGCAGCAAACAGCAAGUUCAACAGCAGAGGAACAAUUUGGGACCCCAAAAUAAUGCCACUAAAACCCAGGAACAAAGGAUAGAUGAACAGCACCGAUAAAACACUUAGAACAACCCUGGUUGAUCCCAAACACCCUCAAAAUUAACCUGGGAAACUUCUGUAAAACUUCAACAACCAGGCACGAACUAGAAGAUGCAAAGCAAUUACUAUAGCUUGAAGUUCAACCAAAAUCUCAAUAGAACAGCAAACCAAUCAAUCAAACUUAAACCAACUCUCCCCAAUACCCAAAUUCAAUCUAUUUUUACCCCCAGAUGAGUCAAGGAUUGCUUCAACAAGUUAGAAACUUGAAAAAUCAGAGAAAAUGAAUUCAAUGAAGCAGUAGAAAAAUUUCAAAGACUGUAAAAAACUUCAACGAGACAGUAGUCUUUUCAGUAUUUCUAUGUGUUCAAUCCUGUGUGUUCUCAGGUCAAGAUUGCUUAAAACUCUAUCAAACAAAACUCGAAUUCUCUCUCAAUCUUUUCAAACUCUCUUUUGUUCUCCUCCCCCUUUUCAGAAUGUGUAUAUGUGUAUUUAUAUUCCUAAAACUCAUCCUUUUCCCGCUCUUAAAAGCACUUCAACAAUUAAGAAACAAUUUCCCCCCAUCACCCUCUGAUUUUCCAACACUAGAACAGGAAUCUCAGUACCCCAUUACCCCCCUUUAUUAUUAUUCUAUUCAGCUGGUAUGGGCAGCCUGAUAUUUAAAUUACGCGUGCCCUGACAGCCCAUGUUGCUUCUGGUUUUCCACUAGUAAAGGCAUUAAUCCAACCUGUCAUUCCCCUUUUUCAUUAGUUAAUUCAAAAGGUUAUCAAUCCUAAUUUUAUUUAAUGAGUUUUCCCUAUCUCAUUUCCAAAUUACUCCUCUACAGCCUAAUUAUUUGUCAAAAACCCUGAAGGUUCUGACCUAAAUUUUAACAUUGUAACGAAAAUCAGCAAAUACCUCACACAUGAACAAUUAAAUUGGCAAGAAAUAAUUAGUGAAUGAACCAGAAGUUUAAGCAAAUUCAAACAAACAUAGAAGGAAAGACCUAAACCGACGCAAAAGACAAACAAACAAUCAAAAGAAAGUAGCAACUUACCAAGUAGAUUUGAAAUUGAUACCGACAUUCCAACUCACCCCAAGAUAAUGUUAAUCGCUCGUUCCUUUUAACUAGCAACCAUCAUUAUCUGAGGGUAACUUGUCCUUGGAAAGUUUAGAAAAACUCGAGAAUAAACACUCCAGAGUUCAGACCUCAGGUUGAAAAUCCGAGACAAUUGAAAGAGAUUCGAGGGGAGCUAUGCUGAGGUUCGGAAAGAGGGGUUCAUGGGGAUUAUAUGGUGUUGAUUUGGGGUUGAUUGGGUAAACUAGGGUUCGGGUCCGAUCUUCGAUCUGAAAUUCGAGGGAUUUGGCUAAGAUUCGAAGGCAAUGGUUUUGGGAUUUGAGGUGAUGAGGUGAAGGAGAAUCAGGGGUGUUAGUUUGGGGUCGAUUGGAGGUGGCGCCGCCACUGGAGAAAGUUAAGGCGGUGCUAGGGUUCAUCUACUCGAAUCGAUAUUUGACGGGUUCCUGGGAUGUUCAAAGGAUUUGGAGUAGGGAUUUGGGAAGAGGAGAUCGAGGGGGUUCUGGGGUGUAUUUUUGGGAGGGAUUGGACCACCGGAACCGCCGUGGGGCGAUUUUCGGUGGGCGGAGGGCGGUGGUGAGACAAGGUCGUCUCUGAAUCGAUGAGAGAGACGGAUGGGAGGGGUUCUGAUUUUGGGGGU
rnacentral:lncRNA from 1 species